CCAAAUGGAAGAGCAGUGGUGAUGAAGAGAAACGCCACUUAAGAGAGUGGGGCGGGCCAGGUUUCCUGUUGGCUGUUCCACCACAAAGCUGUGUGACCAUGUGUCACAUGGCUGAGUAGUAACUUCUUUUUACCUUAAUUUUAAAUUUAUUAUAGAUGCCCAGUUCAUUUUUACUGGGUGCGUGGUGAAGAAAUUAUUCCUCGUGGUCAUCGAAGAGGUCGAAUUGAUGACUUGCGAUACCAGAUAGAUGAUAAACCAAACAACCAGAUUC
rnacentral:lncRNA from 1 species